UUUCACGCCCCUUGGAAGCAGCCUGUCCAAGCAGCUCAGCGCCGCGGCUCACCCCCGUCGGCCCCCUGCGGCCCAGAAGUCCUCGCUGUGUCUUCUCCUUGUCCCUGUUGUCUCUGAAUUCUUCCUGCGACAAGAUGAGAACCUGUUUUCUGAAGCCCCGAACUCAACGGCCCAAUUGGAGUGUGUCUGUGGGUUGUCUCCCAAUCCCUUGCUUGGAGAUCUGGGCGGCGCAGUGGGCUUUGGAGCAGCUGGGAAGAGCAGAGAGCUGUGGAGGCCCUCCUUGCUGGGCCCAGAGCACGUCCCUAUCCACUGCCCUUGUAGCAGCCUCCGUGCACUAAAUGAAAGUGGGAUUUAGUGUCUGUAAGUAAUAUUUUAGC